GACUCAAGAUUUAGUUUAGAAUUGUAAUGGACCAAAGGCUUAAGGGAGUCUAUGUAAAUGGGAGGAAGGGCGCAGAAGAAUCAGAAAUGAUCCCAUGGGUGAGACUCAGUAGUAAAACAUUUUGAGUAGCAAGCACAAGCCCUGAGUUUGAGCCCCAGAAGCACCCAUGUACACACACACACACACACACACACACACUAAUAUCUAGCAUUUGGGCUUUAGCAGUUGGGCCAAGAACAGCGUGCUAUUGCCUGAGAUGGGACAGAGUUGGAGACAAAAUGUUGUAAAGGAAAGAUCAAGAAUUCGUUGUGAGCCUGGAGUUGUAGCUCAGUUGCUUGAGUGCUUGCCUAAUGGAUGGCGUUCUGGGCCCCUCCCAGCAGUAUGUAGACUGCAUGCAGUUGUACAUAGCUGUAAUCCCAGCACUCUGGAGGCUGAAGCCAAAGGACCAAAGUUCAAGGUCAUCCUUGGCUGGCAAGAGUUCAAGGUCAGCCUGGUAAAUUAUACAGUGAGAUACUGCUUUAAAAAGAAAGCAAAAAUUUUUCCUUUUAGACUAGCUAAACAUGAGAUUAGCCCUGAGCAGCUGGCUUAAAUCUCUUUGCUAUCAAUUAAAAAAAAAAAAAUUCCUUUCAGCUCCUAAAAGCCUGUGGUUUCCCUGAGCUGCUAGCGGCAGGUCACUGUUUGAGGACAUUCCUUCCUUGCUCAGUGCAUAGGCACACGUAGGCUCACUUACCCGAGCUGCUCACUCAACUAUGAAAUUAAGGAACGGUCUCCUUUUUAAUUCUUCAAGCUCCUUAGGAAAAGAAAAUUUAAAACCUCGCAUCUGCCUUUGUUUAAGAUUGGCCAAAAGCAGCUGAGUGUUGUAGGAUAUAAAAAUCAUAAAAUCAUACCAUAAGCUGAUGACUAGAAGAGACUGGGAAGCAAUGCAGCGUGUGCCGGGGAGACUGGCCAGAAAUACAUUUGGCAUCAUUCAAGGAAGGGUAAUACGAGAAGACACGGGAGAUGCUGCCCAGAGCAAAUGGCUGCUGAGAUGAUUUUACCCUCCUCACGUCAGCUGGGUCCGAGCAUGGAACGUGAGAUGCUAGCCUCUUUUAUUCCUGGUAAAGAUUUUACAUGCAGGGAGCAAGUAGCUGACUCCAGAGGAGGAAAAGUUGGAAGAAAAAAAAAAAGUCAAUGUGAAGGAAUAAAGACAUUUAUUUGAUGGAGACAGCACAGCGGUCCUGACAAGGUCAACAAGCCGAAGCUGGGAGCGCAAGAUCUUUAUCUACGUGGGAAAUAAGAAAAUCAUUUGACUGAUAAAAGGAAAUACAAUAAAUAGCAUCUAAAUUCCUGGCUGCAUUCCCCCGAGCCCCUCCUCUGCAAGAGAAAGUGCCAGGGCAGGAAUACAACUGCCACUACAGCAGGUUUAAAAAUAGCACACUGCACACAGCCCUUCCUACCUUCCAG